rnacentral:rRNA from 1 species
AUGCCGAACCACGGGCAGGAACAAAAUUGUAAAUAUCACGCUUCCUCGCCAUGUGGGGUUGUAAGCCCCGAGCCGCUCCCGCGAGCGUCCUCGGGGGAAACCCUAGCGCGCCGCCCCUCGUCCUCCCUCGUCGAUCUCUCCCCCCGCCGCCACCGCACAGCGCCGCCGGGCAAAGACCGACCGGCGUUGGUGGCGGCGGGGAUCUUGCCCCUCUCCUCGCGGUUGGCGUCCAGCGCGAGACGGCGCUGGGCUGGGCGGGGCCCAGCGGCGCGGCGGAGGGCGUGCUGGGUGGCGGCGGUGCAGCUGCGGCUUGAGGCCCCUCCAACGUGCGGCGGCUGCGGCUUCUCUGGAGGCGGCGCGAGUUAUCCCGGCGGCGGCUUGGCGGCGUGGGCGCGGCGGAGCUCUGGCGAUGACUCGGCGGCGGGCUGGAAGGCUAGGCACCGUCCAGUGGUGCUGCCUCCGCGGCGGUUGCGGCUUGGGGCCCUUGACCCCGAUCCGAUCUGGAUCUGGUGGUGCCUGGGUCUAGGCCAUGGCGGCUGGCGAGGCAUGGGAAUCGUCGGGGCUUGUCGGCCUCUAGGCACCAUGGGGGUGCUGGAGACGACGCGUGCCCGGCGUGGUGACGCUGGUAGACGUGGUGGUCAUCUUCAUCCCGAGAUGGCCGGCCAGAGGCUUGGUGAUCGGAUCUCGAGAUCCAUCAUCUUGUCCCGGCUGCGAGUAGGGGAGACAUGGUUGCCGGUGAAAACCGAGCCGACGGCAGGCGAUGGCGGCGUUCUCGCCGUUACCUUGAUGGAGGCAUCGUCGUGUAACUACUGUCGACCCACUCGUGUUGCUCCGGGGGAAACCCUAGGAUCUGGUGUUCCAGAUCGGACGAUGGCGGCACUGCGGCGUCGUUUCUCUCUUGGGAGCAUCGUUUGCGGAGCAGCGCUGGAUGUCAGAGGCAGGAGGUGGAGCGGCUUCGUCUUGCAUGGAGCUUCGGUGGUGAUGUCAAGUCAUGCCUGA